rnacentral:rRNA from 1 species
UUCCGGUUGAUCCUGCCGGACCCUACUGCUAUCGGGAUGGGACUAAGACAUGCUAGUCGUGCGUCUCCUAGCCAUGGUGGAGACGCGGCAUACGGCUCAGUAACACGUGCUAACCCACCCUUGAGACGGAGAAAACCCCGGGAAACUGGGGCUAAUCCCCGAUAAGAGAAGACACCUGGAACGGGUCUCCUCUCAAAAGGCGCCCGGACCAUGCUUCUAGGCGCUGCUCAAGGACGGGGCCGCGGCCGAUCAGGUUGUUGGUGAGGCAACGGCUCACCAAGCCUAUAACCGGUACGGGCCGUGAGAGCGGGAGCCCGGAGAUGGGCACUGAGACAAGGGCCCAGGCCCUACGGGGCGCAGCAGUUGCGAAAACUCCGCAAUGCACGAAAGUGUGACGGGGCUACCCCGAGUGCCGUCCGCUGAGGGCGGCUUUUCCCCGGUGUAAGGAGCCGGGGGAAUAAGGAGAGGGCAAGUCUGGUGUCAGCCGCCGCGGUAAUACCAGCUCUCCGAGUGGUAGGGAUGAUUAUUGGGCUUAAAGCGUCCGUAGCCGGCCCGGCAAGUCUUCCGUUAAAUCCAACGAUUCAAUCGUCGGACUGCGGGAGAUACUGUUGGGCUAGGAGGCGGGAGAGGUCGACGGUAUUCUCGGGGUAGGGGUAAAAUCCUAUAAUCCCGGGAAGACCACCAGUGGCGAAGGCGGUCGGCUAGAACGCGCUCGACGGUGAGGGACGAAAGCUGGGGGAGCGAACCGGAUUAGAUACCCGGGUAGUCCCAGCUGUAAACGAUGCGGGCUUGGUGUUGGGGCGGCUACGGGCCGCUUCAGUGCCGCAGGGAAACCGUUAAGCCCGCCGCCUGGGG